UCAUGUAACAUAGGUGAUUCG
rnacentral:piRNA from 1 species